rnacentral:rRNA from 1 species
AACGAACGCUGGCGGCAUGCCUAACACAUGCAAGUCGAACGAGACCUUCGGGUCUAGUGGCGCACGGGUGCGUAACGCGUGGGAAUCUGCCCUUUGCUUCGGAAUAACAGUUAGAAAUGACUGCUAAUACCGGAUGAUGUCUUCGGACCAAAAGAUUUAUCGGGCAAAGGAUGAGCCCGCGUAGGAUUAGGUAGUUGGUGGGGUAAAGGCCUACCAAGCCGACGAUCCUUAGCUGGUCUGAGAGGAUGAUCAGCCACACUGGGACUGAGACACGGCCCAGACUCCUACGGGAGGCAGCAGUGGGGAAUAUUGGGACAAAUGGGCGAAAGCCUGAUCCAGCAAUGCCGCGUGAGUGAUGAAGGCCUGGUCGUAAGCNCUUUACCUAGGAUGAUAAUGACAGUACCU